CCCUAAACGUCCGACCGCUUGACCUGUCGCACUCUAGAGGUCCCCCCUAAACGUCCGACCGCUUCACCUGUCGCACUCUGGAGGUCCCCCCUAAACGUCCGACCGCUUCACCUGUCGCACUCUGGAGGUCCCCCCUAAACGUCCGACCGCUUGACCUGUCGCACUCUGGAGGUCCCCACUAAACGUCCGACCGCUUCACCUGUCGCACUCUGGAGGUCCCCCCUAAACGUCCGACCGCUUGACCUGUCGCACUCUGGAGGUCCCCCCUAAACGUCCGACCGCUUCACCUGUCGCACUCUGGAGGUCCCCCCUAAACGUCCGACCGCUUGACCUGUCGCACUCUGGAGGUCCCCCCGCUUCACCUGUCGCACUCUAGAGGUCCCCCCUAAACGUCCGACCGCUUGACCUGUCGUACUCUGGAGGUCCCCCCUAAACAUCACCUCCCACUCUCCUUUUAAAACGUAUCCGACACCAAAACAUUGAGGGAAAAAAAUACAUAAAGGAAGAUUUAACAGUUUCUUUUUUACAUGUGAAGGAAAAAACAACACACACAAAGCAUGUUCAUGAAGGCAGAAUAGGUGACUAUUACAUGAUGUGUAAACAGAUUUUUUUAAAGACUAAUGACAAAGAGAUUUUGCAUUAGAUUGUAUUAGAACAAAAUCAUUAAUGUUUUGUAUAAACGGUGACUACGGUGAUAUAUCAUUGUUUUCAUUCU